CGCACACGUCCUACGGGAGAAAGCAGGGGACCUUCGGGCCUUGCGCUAUCAGAUGAGCCUAGGUCGGAUUAGCUAGUUGGUGAGGUAAUGGCUCACCAAGGCGACGAUCCGUAACUGGUCUGAGAGGAUGAUCAGUCACACUGGAACUGAGACACGGUCCAGACUCCUACGGGAGGCAGCAGUGGGGAAUAUUGGACAAUGGGCGAAAGCCUGAUCCAGCCAUGCCGCGUGUGUGAAGAAGGUCUUCGGAUUGUAAAGCACUUUAAGUUGGGAGGAAGGGCAGUUACCUAAUACGUGAUUGUUUUGACGUUACCGACAGAAUAAGCACCGGCUAACUCUGUGCCAGCAGCCGCGGUAAUACAGAGGGUGCAAGCGUUAAUCGGAAUUACUGGGCGUAAAGCGCGCGUAGGUGGUUUGUUAAGUUGGAUGUGAAAUCCCCGGGCUCAACCUGGGAACUGCAUCCAAAACUGGCAAGCUAGAGUAUGGUAGAGGGUGGUGGAAUUUCCUGUGUAGCGGUGAAAUGCGUAGAUAUAGGAAGGAACACCAGUGGCGAAGGCGACCACCUGGACUGAUACUGACACUGAGGUGCGAAAGCGUGGGGAGCAAACAGGAUUAAAACCCCGGGGAAAAAACUAAAGCUUCUGAUCCUAAGCUGGUGUCUCAUCCCCGAUUAUAGACCCUGUAAAUCUA
rnacentral:rRNA from 1 species